UACGUAGGAUCCGAGCGUUGUCCGGAAUUACUGGGUGUAAAGGGUGCGCAGGCGGAUUUGAACGUCAGAGGUUAAAUGUCAUCGCUCAACGAUGAACCUGCCUUUGAAACGGCAAGUCUUGAGUAUGAGAGAGGUAAGUAGAAUUCCUGGUGUAGCGGUGAAAUGCGUAGAUAUCAGGAGGAAUACCAGUGGCGAAGGCGGCUUACUGGCUCAUAACUGACGCUCAGGCACGAAAGCGCGGGGAGCAAACAGG
rnacentral:rRNA from 1 species